UUAAAAUGAACCUUUUUCCUAGUUAUAGAUUUGUUUUUCUGUUUGGUAGACAUCAAUACCAAGUAGCAAGUUGCAUUAUGUUGGAGAUUCUUGCAAAGAAUUCAGAGUGCACUUUUCCUUUCUACCUAUCAUGUUCCUGAAGAUUUAGAUAACAGCAACAAACAAGGUGACUAGGCUAGGGGACAACAUUUGAUUUGCAUUGUACAUAACUUAGUGCUGCUGCACCAAACAAGCCUUUUCUGUUAUGUAACUGCAGUUUUUGAUCAAAAUGCUGUGAAAUGGGACUGUGUUAUUCAUAGUCAUGGGAACCCUACGCGUUUGGGGUACAGAGAGAGUAACAUGUAAGGGAGGCAUAUAUUACUGACCC
rnacentral:lncRNA from 1 species